AAAGCGAAGCCGCGAGGUGGAGNAAACCCAAAAAAGACAGUCUCAGUUCGGAUUGAAGGCUGAAAUUCGCCUUCAUGAAGCCGGAAUUGCUAGUAAUGGCAGGUCAGCAUACUGCCGUGAAUACGUUCCCGGGCCUUGUACACACCGCCCGUCACACCAUGAGAGUUGGGGAUACCCGAAGCCUGUGAGCUAACUUUUAGAGGCAGCAGUCGAAGGUAGAAUCAAUGAUUGGGGUGAAGUCGUAACAAGGUAGC
rnacentral:rRNA from 1 species